UUUGUCUCAGAAGUGAAUUUGUCACGACGGUAUUCUUAACCUUCAGAGGACGAUUGUCAGUUCUAUGCUCCAGAGCAGCCGGGUGAGCGUGUGCUGAGCCUGACCUCAGAUCAGCUUAAAAACACCACCCUGGUCACUGGAGACACAACUGGCCGGCUUCAGAUCUGGGACAUCUGUCACUACGCACUGGACCUCCAACACGAGAUGAGUCCAGUCUGUGAGCGGCCUCCUCUGCUGCAGUCUUGGAAGGCUCAUGAGAGAGCAUUAGUAAGCGUGGACGUUCUCGAGGUGGCUGACCGACUGUUCGUCCUCACAGCCUCAGCCGACGGCUCUGCUGGACUGUGGACGAAAGACGGAGACCAUGUG